rnacentral:rRNA from 1 species
UACGUAGGGUGCAAGCGUUAAUCGGAAUUACUGGGCGUAAAGCGUGCGCAGGCGGCUUUGCAAGACAGAUGUGAAAUCCCCGGGCUUAACCUGGGAACUGCAUUUGUGACUGCAUGGCUGGAGUGCGGCAGAGGGGGAUGGAAUUCCGCGUGUAGCAGUGAAAUGCGUAGACAUGCGGAGGAACACCGAUGGCGAAGGCAAUCCCCUGGGCCUGCACUGACGCUCAUGCACGAAAGCGUGGGGAGCAAACAGG